rnacentral:rRNA from 1 species
UACGUAGGGGGCAAGCGUUGUCCGGAAUCAUUGGGCGUAAAGAGCGUGUAGGCGGUCCGUUAAGUCCGCUGUGAAAUCUCGAGGCUCAACUUCGAGCUGUCGGUGGAAACUGUCUGGCUAGAGUCCGGAAGAGGAGAAUGGAAUUCCUGGUGUAGCGGUGAAAUGCGCAGAUAUCAGGAAGAACACCCGUGGCGAAGGCGGUUCUCUGGGACGGUACUGACGCUGAGACGCGAAAGCGUGGGGAGCGAACAGG